GACGAACGCUGGCGGCGUACUUAACACAUGCAAGUCGUACGGUAAGGCCCUUUCGGGGGUACACGAGUGGCGAACGGGUGAGUAACACGUGAGUAACCUGCCCACAACUUUGGGAUAACGCUAGGAAACUGGUGCUAAUACUGGAUAUGUGCUCCUGCUGCAUGGUGGGGGUUGGAAAGCUCCGGCGGUUGUGGAUGGACUCGCGGCCUAUCAGCUUGUUGGUGGGGUAGUGGCCUACCAAGGCGGCGACGGGUAGCCGGCCUGAGAGGGUGACCGGCCACAUUGGGACUGAGAUACGGCCCAGACUCCUACGGGAGGCAGCAGUGGGGAAUAUUGCACAAUGGGCGCAAGCCUGAUGCAGCAACGCCGCGUGCGGGAUGACGGCCUUCGGGUUGGAAACCGCUUUCAGCAGGGACGAAGCUUUUUGUGACGGUACCUGCAGAAGAAGCACCGGCUAACUACGUG
rnacentral:rRNA from 1 species